GACGAACGCUGGCGGCGUGCCUAAUACAUGCAAGUUGAGCGAUGAGGAUUGGUGCUUGCACCUAUUUGAAGAGCAGCGAACGGGUGAGUAACGCGUGGGGAAUCUGCCUUUGAGCGGGGGACAACAUUUGGAAACGAAUGCUAAUACCGCAUAACAACUUUAAACAUAAGUUUUAAGUUUGAAAGAUGCAAUUGCAUCACUCAAAGAUGAUCCCGCGUUGUAUUAGCUAGUUGGUGAGGGAAAGGCUCACCAAGGCGAAGAUACAGAGCCGACCUGAGAGGGUGAUCCGCCAAAUUGGGACUGAGAAACGGCCCAAACUCCUAAGGGAGGCAGCCGUAGGGAAACUUCGGCAAUGGACGAAAGUCUGACCGAGCAAAGCCGCGGGAGUGAAGAAGGUUCUCGGAUCGUAAAACUCUGUUGGUAGAGAAGAACGUUGGUGAGAGUGGAAAGCUCAUCAAGUGACGGUAACUACCCAGAAAGGGACGGCUAACUACGUG
rnacentral:rRNA from 1 species